rnacentral:rRNA from 1 species
UGCAGUCGAGGGGCAGCACGGGUAGCAAUACCUGGUGGCGACCGGCGCACGGGUGCGUAACACGUAUGUAACCUACCUGUAACUGGGGCAUAGCUCAGAGAAAUCUGGAUUAAUACCCCAUAAUAUCAAAAUCAGGCAUCUGGAUUUGAUUAAAGCUCCGGCGGUUACAGAUGGGCAUGCGGGACAUUAGCUAGCUGGUGAGGUAACGGCUCACCAAGGCUACGAUGUCUAGGGGUUCUGAGAGGAUGAUCCCCCACACUGGUACUGAGACACGGACCAGACUCCUACGGGAGGCAGCAGUAGGGAAUAUUGGGCAAUGGGCGCAAGCCUGACCCAGCCAUGCCGCGUGCAGGAUGACGGCCUUAUGGGUUGUAAACUGCUUUUAUACGGGAAAAAACCUUCGAACGUGUUCGAAGCUGAUGGUACCGUAAGAAUAAGCAUCGGCUAACUCCGUGCCAGCAGCCGCGGUAAUACGGAGGAUGCAAGCGUUAUCCGGAUUUAUUGGGUUUAAAGGGUGCGCAGGCGGACUCUUAAGUCAGUGGUGAAAUCCUACAGCUUAACUGUAGAACUGCCAUUGAAACUGGGAGUCUAGAAUUUAGUUGAAGUGGCUGGAAUGUGUCAUGUAGCGGUGAAAUGCAUAGAGAUGACACAGAACACCGAUAGCGAAGGCAGGUCACUAAGCUAAUAUUGACGCUCAGGCACGAAAGCGUGGGGAUCAAACAGGAUUAGAUACCCUGGUAGUCCACGCCGUAAACGAUGAUAACUAGCUGUUGGCGAUACACAGUCAGUGGCUGAGCGAAAGCAUUAAGUUAUCCACCUGGGGAGUACGACCGCAAGGUUGAAACUCAAAGGAAUUGACGGGGGCCCGCACAAGCGGAGGAGCAUGUGGUUUAAUUCGAUGAUACGCGAGGAACCUUACCUGGGCUCGAACGUAGAGCGACGUAUGCCGAAAGGUAUAUUCCCUUCGGGGCGAACUACGAGGUGCUGCAUGGUUGUCGUCAGCUC